rnacentral:rRNA from 1 species
CUCGUAGGCGGCUCAGCAAGUCGGCCGUGAAAGCCCAGAGCUCAACUCUGGGAUGCCGGUCGAUACUGCUGUGGCUAGGGUCCGGUAGAGGAGAGUGGAAUUCCUGGUGUAGCGGUGAAAUGCGCAGAUAUCGGGAGGAACACCAGUAGCGAAGGCGGCUCUCUGGGCCGGUACCGACGCUGAGGAGCGAAAGCUAGGGGAGCAAACA